rnacentral:rRNA from 1 species
GGGUUGUGAGGUUAAGCGACUAAGCGUACACGGUGGAUGCCCUGGCAGUCAGAGGCGAUGAAGGACGUGCUAAUCUGCGAUAAGCGUCGGUAAGGUGAUAUGAACCGUUAUAACCGGCGAUUUCCGAAUGGGGAAACCCAGUGUGUUUCGACACACUAUCAUUAACUGAAUCCAUAGGUUAAUGAGGCGAACCGGGGGAACUGAAACAUCUAAGUACCCCGAGGAAAAGAAAUCAACCGAGAUUCCCCCAGUAGCGGCGAGCGAACGGGGAGCAGCCCAGAGCCUGAAUCAGUGUGUGUGUUAGUGGAAGCGUCUGGAAAGGCGCGCGAUACAGGGUGACAGCCCCGUACACAAAAAUGCACAUGCUGUGAGCUCGAUGAGUAGGGCGGGACACGUGGUAUCCUGUCUGAAUAUGGGGGGACCAUCCUCCAAGGCUAAAUACUCCUGACUGACCGAUAGUGAACCAGUACCGUGAGGGAAAGGCGAAAAGAACCCCGGCGAGGGGAGUGAAAAAGAACCUGAAACCGUGUACGUACAAGCAGUGGGAGCACGCUUAGGCGUGUGACUGCGUACCUUUUGUAUAAUGGGUCAGCGACUUAUAUUCUGUAGCAAGGUUAACCGAAUAGGGGAGCCGAAGGGAAACCGAGUCUUAACUGGGCGUUAAGUUGCAGGGUAUAGACCCGAAACCCGGUGAUCUAGCCAUGGGCAGGUUGAAGGUUGGGUAACACUAACUGGAGGACCGAACCGACUAAUGUUGAAAAAUUAGCGGAUGACUUGUGGCUGGGGGUGAAAGGCCAAUCAAACCGGGAGAUAGCUGGUUCUCCCCGAAAGCUAUUUAGGUAGCGCCUCGUGAAUUCAUCUCCGGGGGUAGAGCACUGUUUCGGCAAGGGGGUCAUCCCGACUUACCAACCCGAUGCAAACUGCGAAUACCGGAGAAUGUUAUCACGGGAGACACACGGCGGGUGCUAACGUCCGUCGUGAAGAGGGAAACAACCCAGACCGCCAGCUAAGGUCCCAAAGUCAUGGUUAAGUGGGAAACGAUGUGGGAAGGCCCAGACAGCCAGGAUGUUGGCUUAGAAGCAGCCAUCAUUUAAAGAAAGCGUAAUAGCUCACUGGUCGAGUCGGCCUGCGCGGAAGAUGUAACGGGGCUAAACCAUGCACCGAAGCUGCGGCAGCGACGCUGAUGCGUUGUUGGGUAGGGGAGCGUUCUGUAAGCCUGCGAAGGUGUGCUGUGAGGCAUGCUGGAGGUAUCAGAAGUGCGAAUGCUGACAUAAGUAACGAUAAAGCGGGUGAAAAGCCCGCUCGCCGGAAGACCAAGGGUUCCUGUCCAACGUUAAUCGGGGCAGGGUGAGUCGACCCCUAAGGCGAGGCCGAAAGGCGUAGUCGAUGGGAAACAGGUUAAUAUUCCUGUACUUGGUGUUACUGCGAAGGGGGGACGGAGAAGGCUAUGUUGGCCGGGCGACGGUUGUCCCGGUUUAAGCGUGUAGGCUGGUUUUCCAGGCAAAUCCGGAAAAUCAAGGCUGAGGCGUGAUGACGAGGCACUACGGUGCUGAAGCAACAAAUGCCCUGCUUCCGGGGAAAAGCCUCUAAGCAUCAGGUAACAUCAAAUCGUACCCCAAACCGACACAGGUGGUCAGGUAGAGAAUACCAAGGCGCUUGAGAGAACUCGGGUGAAGGAACUAGGCAAAAUGGUGCCGUAACUUCGGGAGAAGGCACGCUGAUAUGUAGGUGAGGUCCCUCGCGGAUGGAGCUGAAAUCAGUCGAAGAUACCAGCUGGCUGCAACUGUUUAUUAAAAACACAGCACUGUGCAAACACGAAAGUGGACGUAUACGGUGUGACGCCUGCCCGGUGCCGGAAGGUUAAUUGAUGGGGUUAGCGCAAGCGAAGCUCUUGAUCGAAGCCCCGGUAAACGGCGGCCGUAACUAUAACGGUCCUAAGGUAGCGAAAUUCCUUGUCGGGUAAGUUCCGACCUGCACGAAUGGCGUAAUGAUGGCCAGGCUGUCUCCACCCGAGACUCAGUGAAAUUGAACUCGCUGUGAAGAUGCAGUGUACCCGCGGCAAGACGGAAAGACCCCGUGAACCUUUACUAUAGCUUGACACUGAACAUUGAGCCUUGAUGUGUAGGAUAGGUGGGAGGCUUAGAAGUGUGGACGCCAGUCUGCAUGGAGCCGACCUUGAAAUACCACCCUUUAAUGUUUGAUGUUCUAACGUUGACCCGUAAUCCGGGUUGCGGACAGUGUCUGGUGGGUAGUUUGACUGGGGCGGUCUCCUCCUAAAGAGUAACGGAGGAGCACGAAGGUUGGCUAAUCCUGGUCGGACAUCAGGAGGUUAGUGCAAUGGCAUAAGCCAGCUUGACUGCGAGCGUGACGGCGCGAGCAGGUGCGAAAGCAGGUCAUAGUGAUCCGGUGGUUCUGAAUGGAAGGGCCAUCGCUCAACGGAUAAAAGGUACUCCGGGGAUAACAGGCUGAUACCGCCCAAGAGUUCAUAUCGACGGCGGUGUUUGGCACCUCGAUGUCGGCUCAUCACAUCCUGGGGCUGAAGUAGGUCCCAAGGGUAUGGCUGUUCGCCAUUUAAAGUGGUACGCGAGCUGGGUUUAGAACGUCGUGAGACAGUUCGGUCCCUAUCUGCCGUGGGCGCUGGAGAACUGAGGGGGGCUGCUCCUAGUACGAGAGGACCGGAGUGGACGCAUCACUGGUGUUCGGGUUGUCAUGCCAAUGGCACUGCCCGGUAGCUAAAUGCGGAAGAGAUAAGUGCUGAAAGCAUCUAAGCACGAAACUUGCCCCGAGAUGAGUUCUCCCUGACCCUUUAAGGGUCCUGAAGGAACGUUGAAGACGACGACGUUGAUAGGCCGGGUGUGUAAGCGCAGCGAUGCGUUGAGCUAACCGGUACUAAUGAACCGUGAGGCUUAACCUUACAACGCCGAAGCUGUU